rnacentral:lncRNA from 1 species
GGGGGCCAGGCCCCUUGGUGUUGGCCGCUGUCUCCACUUCCUGGCCAGAAGUUACUUUACCUGGGCAGGGUGCAGCAGUGCGGAGGGAAGCCUGAGCUUUGAGACUCAUGGAGGCCUGGGAGGCUCACACACAGUGCAGUGGGGUGAGGCCAGCCUACUCAGGACACCUGGAUACGGUCCACCCUCUCCCAUGAACCCAGGGACCUUGAAAAGCCUGGAGUUACCACUGAGAAACAUUAAUAUUGAUCUCAGCUGCCUGUUGUCUCCACUGCAAGGUUUCAGAAAAAGGAGAAAAUGGCAUGCUAAGUCCAUAUGGCUUCUGAGUUUCCUUUUUUUAGAUGGAGAAAAUGGAGGAAUGUAUCAAGCCUCACGAUUCCAUCAUCCGGCUUCAGAAAUGAAUUCGGCUGGUUUUGUUUCAUUUUUGUUCCCCAACCUCUUUUGGAUUACUUUGAAUCAAAGCCUGGAUGGUUUUCAUACAGAGUGUUUGUGUUUGGUUUGUUUUGGGGAAGGACUGCUUAGUAGGCCAGCUCGAGUAUGCAGAAGGCUGCCCGUUUCUGUGGCCAGGUUGA